rfam:Desulfovibrio africanus str. Walvis Bay, complete genome.
AAUCAAGAUAAUAAGCGCAACUGGUGGAUGCCUUGGCGCUGACAGGCGAUGAAGGACGCGGUAGGCUGCGAUAAGCCUCGGGGAGCCGCCAAGCAGGCUUUGAUCCGGGGAUUUCCGAAUGGGGCAACCCGGCUGGAGUCAUGUCCAGUCAUCUCUUGGCUGAAUACAUAGGCCUUGAGAAGCGAACCCGGGGAAGUGAAACAUCUCAGUACCCGGAGGAGUAGAAAUCAACCGAGAUUCCCCUAGUAGCGGCGAGCGAACGGGGAGUAGCCCAAACCGGGUGGAUCCGUCCAUCCGGGGUUGUGGGACCUUCAUACGUGAUCCAUGAGUAGGCAGUGAAACCGGCUGGGAAGCCGGGCCAUAGCGGGUGAUAGCCCCGUACACGAACCUGAAAGUGGCACAGAAGGCACCCGAGUACGGCGGGGCACGAGAAACCCCGUCGGAAUCUGGGAGGACCAUCUUCCAAGGCUAAAUACUCGUCAGCGACCGAUAGCGAACCAGUACCGUGAGGGAAAGGUGAAAAGAACCCCUGUGAGGGGAGUGCAAUAGAACCUGAAACCAGUUGCGUACAAGCGGUGGGAGCGGACUUGUUCCGUGACCGCGUGCCUUUUGCAUAAUGGGCCAGCGAGUUGCUUUGUCGUGCGAGGUUAAGGGGUGACCCGAAGCCGAAGCGAAAGCGAGUCCGAAUAGGGCGACCAGUACGGCGGAGCAGACCCGAAGCCGGGUGAGCUAUCCAUGAGCAGGUUGAAGCUCGGGUAAAACCGAGUGGAGGACCGAACCGUUGUAAGUUGAAAAUUACUCGGAUGACUUGUGGAUAGGGGUGAAAGGCCAAUCAAACUCGGUGAUAGCUGGUUCUCCCCGAAAUAUAUUGAGGUAUAGCCUCGGAUUAGUCUUACGGAGGUAGAGCACUGACAGGGCUAGGGGCCUCACCAGGUUACCAAACCCUAUCAAACUCCGAAUGCCGUACAGAUGCUGUCCGGGAGUCAGACGGCGGGUGCGAAGGUCCGUCGUCAAAAGGGAAACAGCCCAGAUCGCCAGCUAAGGUUCCUAAAUCCAUGCUCAGUGGGAAAGGAGGUGGGGUUACCUAGACAGCCAGGAGGUUGGCUUAGAAGCAGCCAUCCUUUAAAGAAAGCGUAAUAGCUCACUGGUCUAGUGACCCUGCGCCGAAAAUGUAACGGAGCUAAGCAUGGUACCGAAGCUGCGGGAGUAGCUAGUCUACUCGGUAGGGGAGCGUUCUCUUCUAGGAUGAAGGCGCAGGCGCAAGCCACGCUGGACGAAAGAGAAGUGAUUAUGCUGGCAUGAGUAACGAUAAAACGAGUGAGAAACUCGUUCGCCGUAAGCCCAAGGUUUCCUGGGUAAAGUUAAUCUUCCCAGGGUUAGUCGGCCCCUAAGGCGAGACCGAAAGGUGUAGUCGAUGGAAAACGGGUUAAUAUUCCCGUACUCGCGCAUGUUGCGAUGGGGGGACGCAGGAGGGUAGGCCAUCCGGGUGUUGGAUAUCCCGGUGUAAGCUGGUAGGCGUGCCGCGUAGGUAAAUCCGCGUGGCUGAGCCGAGAAGCGAUGCCGAGCCGCAAGGCGAAGUGGUCGAGCCCAGGCUGCCAAGAAAAGCCUCUAAGCUUCAGACAUGUGUGAACCGUACCGCAAACCGACACAGGUGGGCGGGUCGAAUAGACUAAGGCGCUUGAGAAAACUCUGGCUAAGGAACUCGGCAAAUUGACCCCGUAAGUUCGCGAGAAGGGGUGCUCCUUUGGGUGUACGUUUUACUACGGAAAGCCUAGGGGAGCCGCAGAGAAAUGGGGGUGGCGACUGUUUACUAAAAACACAGGUCUCUGCUAAGUCGCAAGACGAAGUAUAGGGACUGACGCCUGCCCGGUGCCGGAAGGUUAAGGGGUGAGGUCAGCCGCAAGGCGAAGCUUUAAACCGAAGCCCCGGUAAACGGCGGCCGUAACUAUAACGGUCCUAAGGUAGCGAAAUUCCUUGUCAGGUAAGUUCUGACCUGCACGAAUGGCGUAACGAUCUCCCCACUGUCUCGGCCAGAGACUCAGUGAAAUUGAAGAUUCGGUGAAAAUGCCGAAUACCCGCAGGAGGACGGAAAGACCCUGUGCACCUUUACUAUAGCUUGACAUUGUGUCUUGGACGCGCAUGUGUAGGAUAGGUGGGAGGCUUUGAAGCCGGUGCGCCAGCAUCGGUGGAGCCACCCUUGAAAUACCACCCUUGCUCGUCUAAGACCCUAACCCUGCGCCGUUAUCCGGUCAGGGGACCGUGUCUGGUGGGUAGUUUGACUGGGGCGGUCGCCUCCCAAAUAAUAACGGAGGCUUACAAAGGUUCCCUCAGGCUGAUUGGAAACCAGCCGUCGAGCGCAAAGGCAUAAGGGAGCUUGACUGCGAGACGGACACGUCGAGCAGGGACGAAAGUCGGUCUUAGUGAUCCGGUGGUCCCGCAUGGAAGGGCCAUCGCUCAUAGGAUAAAAGGUACGCCGGGGAUAACAGGCUGAUCGCGUCCAAGAGUUCACAUCGACGACGCGGUUUGGCACCUCGAUGUCGGCUCAUCGCAUCCUGGGGCUGGAGCAGGUCCCAAGGGUACGGCUGUUCGCCGUUUAAAGCGGUACGCGAGCUGGGUUUAAAACGUCGUGAGACAGUUUGGUCCCUAUCCUCUGUGGGCGUAGGAGAAUUGAGAGGGCCUGUCCCUAGUACGAGAGGACCGGGAUGGACGAACCUCUAGUGUGCCUGUUGUCGCGCCAGCGGCACCGCAGGGUAGCUAUGUUCGGCAAGGAUAACCGCUGAAAGCAUCUAAGCGGGAAACCUGCCUCAAGAUAAAUUCUCCCUGAAGACCCCUGGUAGACCACCAGGUUGAUAGGCCGGAGGUGUAAGUAUGGCAACAUGCUCAGCUGACCGGUACUAAUUGGUCGUUCGUCUUAAUUCG